rnacentral:rRNA from 1 species
GACGAACGCUGGCUGCGUGCUUAACACAUGCAAGUCGAACGCUGAAGCCCGCAGCUUGCUGUGGGUGGAUGAGUGGCGAACGGGUGAGUAACACGUGAGUAACCUGCCCCUGACUUCGGGAUAAGCCCGGGAAACUGGGUCUAAUACCGGAUACGACCAUCGGACGCAUGUCUGGUGGUGGAAUGCUUUUUCGGUUGGGGAUGGGCUCGCGGCCUAUCAGUUUGUUGGUGAGGUAAUGGCUCACCAAGACGACGACGGGUAGCCGGCCUGAGAGGGCGACCGGCCACACUGGGACUGAGACACGGCCCAGACUCCUACGGGAGGCAGCAGUGGGGAAUAUUGCACAAUGGGGGAAACCCUGAUGCAGCGACGCAGCGUGCGGGAUGACGGCCUUCGGGUUGUAAACCGCUUUCAGCAGGGAAGAAGCGAAAGUGACGGUACCUGCAGAAGAAGUACCGGCUAACUACGUGCCAGCAGCCGCCGUAA